rnacentral:rRNA from 1 species
GAUGAACGCUGGCGGCGUGCCUAAUACAUGCAAGUCGAGCGAACAGACGAGGAGCUUGCUCCUCUUACGUUAGCGGCGGACGGGUGAGUAACACGUUGAUAACCUACCUAUAAGACUGGGAUAACUUCGGGAAACCGGAGCUAAUACCGGAUAAUAUAUUUAACCGCAUGGUUCAAUAGUGAAAGACGGUUUUGCUGUCACUUAUAGAUGGAUCCGCGCCGCAUUAGCUAGUUGGUAAGGUAACGGCUUACCAAGGCAACGAUGCGUAGCCGACCUGAGAGGGUGAUCGGCCACACUGGAACUGAGACACGGUCCAGACUCCUACGGGAGGCAGCAGUAGGGAAUCUUCCGCAAUGGGCGAAAGCCUGACGGAGCAACGCCGCGUGAGUGAUGAAGGUCUUCGGAUCGUAAAACUCUGUUAUUAGGGAAGAACAAAUGUGUAAGUAACUAUGCACGUCUUGACGGUACCUAAUCAGAAAGCCACGGCUAACUACGUG